CUCGCGGCCGUCCCGCGCUCAGUGCAAACUCGGGUGAAGUUGAGGUCGCUCCCCAGCCCCCCUCGGGGUCCUUUCGUACCGGACAACCCGCGGCAUCGCGGCCGAGCGCAGGGUGGGAGUGCGGUGUCGCGUCUGCUGUCCCAAGGCUCCCCGCACUCGCGCUGAGGAGGUGCGACCCCGCGCCGUGCCGCCGAACCGCCCUCAUCCCGCGCGGAGCCCGGCGGGCGCACGGCAGGUGGGAUCCCGCGCCGGCCUGGGGAUCGCCGCCCCGUCCUUCUGUCUCCGCGGCCGCCGACAGCGCCUCGAGAACGGCUGUAUCACCUGCUGUAAUGCCCGUCCCUCCUGCGUGCCUCAGCUCCCACCAGGGAUUGCAGCACAGAACCACAUCCCAGCGUUGUGUCUGCAGUGGAACCAGCACGUGAAACCUGCAUGACAGAGGACUUUCUGGAAAACAAGUUCAGCCUUGCUAUCUGCGCCUGGCACGUGAGAAUGAAAGCUGGCUUGCUUGGAGCAGAGGCCUCCCUGCAGUCACUGGCAGAAUGUUUGGACACAGCUCUGCAGGACGUCCUGGGACCAGCGUGACCCAGCUGGGAGCAGCAGCUAGCUGAAAAACUCGCUUCAGAAGCACUCAGCUGUGGCCUGCUGAGGAACUGGAAAGGCCUCGUCUGAGAUGUGCAGAAAGCUCACACCAGUUUAAAGAUACGUGAAUACAUGAAUUCUGCUCUGUCAUAACCACACGAUGCCAAAAAGAGCUGCCGCUGCUUGGAGUGACUGACUGCUCAUCUGAUGGGUCUCAGUUCUGAAGUCCAAAAUGAGAUUCCUCUGCUUAAGGACUGGCUGUUCAGAGAUGCACUUGGAGUCCUGCGGCUGCUCCUGAAAUCAGUGGGAACUGACUUCAAGCACCACUGAAACACACUCCUGGCUCUCCCAGGUGCCUUUUUUUAAUUGAAGAUGCUUGGAUGUUACAAGGUGCUUCUAACAAGAAAAAUGCAGUGUGCGUCAUGCACCGAAGUCACGCUGUAACAGGAACAGAAGCAGCUGUGUUUGCAUUGCCCACUCACAGAUCUCUGGACUCAUUUAUAAAUUUCUCUCUUCGUCUGGUAAAUAAUUCUUCAGUAGAAUAACUUAUUUAUGCUGUUUUUGAAGGGUAUUUCUAUACCCAAGUUACGUUUUAAUUGUGUUGUUUGCAAGAACUCAGAAAUAAUUUUCUUUUUCAAAGAGCCCUCGUCAUCCCCUGCUUUUUUUUAACCGGUACACAGGUGGCUGAAAGACAAUUCAGUGCUUACAGCUGAGGAUGCUGGAUACCUUCAUCCCAGGCCCCAACCUGCCCUGUACCCUGUACCACAUGACCUUGAUUCAUUAUAGGACCUCAGUUCUCAUGCCCAUCUGUAAGCUAACAGCUACUGUACAGCUGUAACUGCAGAGCUGUAACUGCAGAGCUCACUCAUUGAGUGUCUGUAGGAAGAGGAGGUGAUGCAGCAGCAGCAGCAUUAAGGCACAGAAAUAGGGCUCACCUUUGCUGGUCUUCUCGACAUUCUUUCAUGCUUUCUUUGAAUGACCUUUCAAUUGGUCUCUGCAUUACUUUCCUGUUACACGGAGCUGCUGCAGCAGUGAAAUAGGAAGCAGAGAUUGACAAAGUGCAGAGUAGGCAAAAUAUGCGUGAAGUGAUUUAAUAUGAGUUGAUAGGUGUCACUGAUCUCUAUUAUAAAUAGACUGUGUGAAUUCCAUAUGAUGUAUUAUUUAUCUAUUGUAGAUGCCUUUUUGUUUCAUUAAUAAAGCUGGAAAUCAGACAUAUACGUUUCCAAUGAUGAGGUUUUGGCAAUACAAGGCAUCGUGGUAUUUGUCUGCAAUUGCUCAAUUAUUUUGAUGAUUUUCUUCUUCUUUCUCUAUAAAUAAUUAAUGUUUGAGACGUUUGCUCAAGAUUCUUACGAUUUUAGCUCAUUUGUCCAGCUGAAGUCUUUUUUCCCUCUCUGAUGAAAGGAGAUUCAUGCAGUGUAAGGACUUACACUUUGACCUGACCUUUGCAACGCUGUGCUGUAGCACACAGCUUGGGUGCUCUGACUGAGGUUUGUGAGGCUUGUGAGGUCUGGUAACUCCAGCAAAACUCACAUCAGCAACAUGUGUUCAGUUUAAAUCUGCUUCAAAGCAGAAACUCAUUUGCUCUUAUUCUACCUGCAGUUAAAAAUGUUCCCCAGGUGCUUGAGAAAGUUAAAAGCAUAGGAAAGACUUCGCGUUUCAAAAUCCUGAAGCGAGCAGCAAGAAGCAGCCAGCAGUGCCUCCUGCCUCUCUUCCUGAAGAUGCUCAAGCCAAGAUAUCCUUGAGGACGUUAAUGUUUAAAACAAAAGACAGAACCAGGGCUGGUGCCAGGCGCAGGUCAGCGAGCCCCAGGCCCUGCAGGGGCGGAUGGCAGCGGCGCUGGCAGCACUGCCUGCAGCAGGAGGUGCUGUGCUGUGCUCCCACGAGAUCUGCCUUCCCAGAACGCCUCCAUCGGUACUGAAAUUUGUCUGCCUUCUGCAUUUGAUCUCCUUAUUUUCUUCUCAUAUGCCUUUUUAAUGCUGUUUGUAGCCAUUUCAAUUAUGUGAUUUCCUUAUCUGUAUACCAUUGAGAAUACUGUACAAGACUUUAUAAACAGCUACUAAGUCUAUCUGCCUGUCAUUUGGUUUUCAUUACGUGAGAUAACAAUCCUUCUCAUAUCUUAUAAGAAGAUAUAAUGUGAUUGUUUCCAAACGGAGAGGGGAAAAAAGUCUAGUCUGCAUUAUACUUAGCCUGGUAGCAUUUGUAAUGUUGGUGGUGUCAGCACAAUCUCCAACAUUUUUUCCUUGCUGUGGUCCAGGAAGAAUUAUCUCUCUAGUUUUUUGUGUUUGCUGCUAUCUGUUCUUUUUCUCCAUUUUAGACACGGUGAAUUUCUUAUCUGGAGCGUGGUUACGUGGCCGUGGAUUUGCCUAUAUUCAGUGUGAUCAUUCCUAACUGUUUCGUGGGGCUGAUACACUGAAGGGAAGGAUGAGAGGCAAUUGUCAACAGCUCACUGUAUUAAAUAUGGAUAGAUAUUAUUCAUGUAAUUUGACAGUUCUUGACUUUCAGCUGUAUAAUGACAGUGAAACGGUAGGAAUUUCAGCAGCCGAACUUCUGUCUUACUUCAAGAUAAGCUUAUCAACUGUAGCCUGAAUCCAUUCAACUCAUAAGCAGAUCAAAACUCGUGUCAUGCUGAACUGUGGCACUGAUUCCCGCUUCCUGCUGUUGCUUUACUUGUCCAUAUGGUCUCCGUUGUUUGCCAUCUUGCAGUUACUUUGAGAGGUUUUUGGGGGGCUGACUGUCUCAUGUUCAGCACUUCAUACAGUGAAGCCGUGGAUCUUGCUCGAUGCCACCAGUUGCUCAUGUAACAUAAAUACUAUGUAAUGAAGUGAUAAUAGAUGAUGGUCAGCCCUUGGGCUUUCUUCUCUCUUCAUCAGUUACACACUUGAAUUACAAAGAGUUGCUUUGUUUGGUUUCCCAUUUAACAUGAAGCACCCUGGAGUUUAUCUUGUGCUAUUUGUCCCAGAACUUCAGUGGGAUCCCCGCAAAUACGCAGGAAUUGUGCAUUUCUUUCACCAUUUGUGCACUCCCACCGCUGCAGCAUGGCGUGGCAGCUGCAGACUAAACAGCAUCGUUAGGUUAAGGAUUGAUCAAGUGGCUGUGGAAUUUCCAUGCUCUGUUUCGUGCCUUCCAGAUUACAGCACUGUUUCCAAACUGGUGGGAUUCAGCGGGGGGGAGGGCGGGAAGAAUGGUGCAUUGUACAACUUUUGGCAGCCAAAUGUUCAACUUCAAAAUCAAAAAACAAAAAAUAAUAAUACUUUAAAAAAACCCUAGAAUUGUAAAAGCAAAUGUGAAAUCUCUCUCCUGUCAUCUCCACCUUCAUUUUCUUCUCUGCCUGCUCACUGCAGUUUUAUCUCAUGGCUGUGAACUCCUCCAGGCUAGGCCUGUCUUUCUGUUUCUGUCUGCGAAAUGAAGAGCACAAGAGGAUAUAAGGAUGUACAGAUGUGGUUGCUGGCUCGGGCCGUGGGCUGGUGUCCUAUCUGCCAUCAGCCUUCAUCCGCCUGCUGGUUUUUCCAUCGUCCAACCUCCUGCUGGAAACACGGCAUGCUGAUGGGAGCCCAUUGCUACAGACUUCACCAGAAUAUUUUCCAAACAAUUAUGUUUAUUAAUUCAUCAUUGAUGUGUUUUUCUUCUCCGAAUUUUUCUGCUCUCUACUCGAGUACACUUCUGAGCAGCAGUAAACAAAAAGUGAUCGCUAUCAGAAUAAGUGAUGAUAUGGAAGUUUUGCAAUUUCUUAACAGUAAGAGAUCCUCAGCUAUUUGACUUCUUCUGUAAUUUGUGAGAAGAAAUAUGACUUCAGGUUUCACUAUUAAAUGCAUGCCUCAGUGGCUCAGUUUAUGCAUUCAUAAUUAUAUUUACAAUUAGAAAUAAUGUAAUCAGGAAUAGAUUUUUUUUUUACUGGCUGACUGCACAAAAUGAGUUGAGGAGAAAAUGUAGUUUUAAGCCACGCUUUCUUCCCCACAGUUUAGGAUCAUUUAAGCUUCAUCUCAGUCAUACGUAAGGAAAUUAUAGGCUAAUGAAGUCCUUAUACUGCUGUAUUAGAUCUGAAGAUUGCCAGGUCUAUCACUGGGUUCCCUUCUGCACAGCAAAUCCCCAAAUACUGAGGAUGCAAUGGCAGAAGGACACAAAAGCACUUUCUGCAGUCACAGAGUGCAGUGUUCUCCUGUAAAUAUUUUAAUUCCUUCAUAAUGGAAAAGAGCAGCUUUAAAUGGAGAAGCAGAUAAGGAGAGAGUGUGAGGCAUUCUCACAGUGGAGGAUUCAGGUGCCCUGCUAGGCAGGGUUAAUGGGUGCUGUACUGCAGUCACUCUGCUCCUGGGAAUCCCUGAAAUGUCAAAGUGGUGCAAAACAAAAUUGUGAACCGAGUCCUGCUUGUUUUAAAUGGAGGCAGCAGGGCAGCACUGAGCUCAAAUGCAGACUAUUUAGACACGGGAUGACAUUUAUGAUUACUUUCCUCUCUUGAAAAUUAAUCAGAAAGUUAUUUCUGUGAAAAUUUGAUUCUUAACUGAAAAAUUCUAAUCUGUUCACUUGUUUUAUUUUUUCUUUGAUCAUCAUUUCCCAUCACUGGAAAACAAUGGAGAACGCCCUUGUUUGCUGAUAGUUUCUAAAGCAUUUUCCUUCAGUCUUUGGCCAAAAUAUGCAAUGAAACGUAUGUUCACAUGUUUUGCACAGUGAUUUUUGUCAGAAAAGCCAUUUCCCGUCAAAAAGAUUAUUUCAAGGGAUGUUUUCACUUGCCAGAUUCAGAAGCACAUUAAUGCUGGCUGCAAUCAGAAGGGCACGCUCAUACAGUGGGCUUCCACACUUCUCAUGAUACUUUUCAACAGGACUGUCACUGGCAGCACAAGGUGCAGCAAUGUCAGUUUUAAUUAAAACCUUUCCUUUUACCUGCUGCACAGAACAGCUGCAGCAUAAACUGGGAAGCAAAGGCACCACAACAUGUACGAGCCAGGUUUUGUUGAACACAAACAGGAGGCAUCACUAAUGGGAGCUCUGCACGGAGCCCAUUAGCCCAACAGAUUCCGCUUCUCCCUAAGAUGCUCCACGCAAACUUUUGCUGGUUUCCAAAAAUUGGUCGCCAAAAAAACAUGCAGUGGAGUCGAGAGCACAACUUGGGUAAAAGUGAGCGCUGGGUGGAGAGGCCAACACGAGUACCUGUGCUUUACACUGAGCCCUGCACUGAUGGCCAAUUUGAGCGUGUAGAGAAGGGUCGGGUGAGCAGCAGUGAGCAGUGCAGGAGACGUUGCCUCCUUCCCCUCAGUGCAGUGGGGUUGGAAGUCUGGGGUAAGGCCCCAUCUCCAUAAGGACCCACUAUUAAAUGAUUGCGAGAGGAAAUCAGCAGCUGCUGCGUCUGAUAGUCCUCAUCUUCUCAGGGUGAGCUCUGGGCGUGAGCA